CGGCAACCCGAUUGAUUAAAAUGUCUCACGUGCCACUCAGUACUUCCUUGUUUGAAAAUAUCUCCCGCGAAGAAUCAACGUAAAGACAGACAAAAUGAGAAAAUCUCGAAGAAUAUACCUACAGUAUGUGAAUAAAAAUGGGCGAUCUCAGGUAGCCAAUGUGAGAAAAACAGUGAUUGAAAGAAACAUAUUGCUUGAUCCGCCGAUAGUGGCAGUGGCAGUACAGGGAAAGGAGGUAGCCCGCUGCAGCGCGUUGAGACGCGAAUUAGUUGAGAUGAAGAUGACGACAUGCAGCGAUCAACCAGACAGCAGCCGGUAACAGUGGCUUUUAUUCCACAGGUCUCAAAUAAACCAACUCAUACAUGAUUGGAUUUGCUCUAAGUGUCUAAACACUGGACUGAAAAUCACCAUAGACUUCACCAACCAGAUUCUGUAAUUCUGUCAUGAGUGCAGACUGUGAAGGUGAUCGUGAUGCAUUUAGGAGGAGUGUUUACACUUCCUCCAGGCUGCAAGAGUGCUCCAGGGGAGAUGUGGCGUUUGAUAUGAAUGUGAGGAUGGUUCUUCUAGCCCACGAACUUGGACUUGGUUAUGCAGCUCUAAAGAAAAUAAGUCCUAGGAAUUCCUUCCUUGUGUCUCAGCUCAUAUCAGAGACAUGAGAGGAGAAUGACAGACCAGAGGACAUUUCUCCAAAAAGUACAAUCUUCCCAUGAUGUCAAGCAAAGAGGCACUGAGUUUGACGUAACUAUGCCUGCCUGCCUGCCUGCCUGCCUGCCUGCCUGCCUGCCUGCCUGCCUGCCUGCCUGCCUGCCUGCCUGCCUGCCUGGGCAUGAUUAAAUAUGGAUCUGGGGCCAGAGUUUCACAGCAGCACCUCAGAGGAGAGGAAAAACACACUGCACUGAAGAAGGAAAGCCUCUGCUCAGGAAGGAGGCGCGGCGUUCCUUCGUGGGGGAAUUUUGUCAUCAGACUUUGUCAAAAAAGUCUGGCAUUCUUUGGAUUUAUGGAGCUUCCAAGACAACUGGGUUGAAUAAUGAUGACGUCAGUGAUCUUCAGGUCAUAGUUCUAAAAAGAGGCCCAUGUUCCCGACUUCCUGAGUUGGAUGACCGUUCAAAACGUAUUCUCCCAGUCAGAGCUCCCGAAUGUCUUGAACUCACUGAAGUCAGAUUUCUCAGUUCCGAGUUAAGUUGUUUUGAGCGCGGCAGAAAUCAUUCUGGAUUGACAGCAUGGCCAAUGUUUAUCAUUUUAGGCUUGUAAAAGAGACCCUUAAACCCAGACUUGGGACCACACUGCUACUCCACUGAAUAACAGGCUAGUGAUUGCUUUGCAAUGCUUGCAGUUAGCCACUGAUUCCUUCCAAACCACUCAUUGUUGAAUUUGCAAUUUCCAACUUGUUGCGUAAUGUUUAUGUCUAAUGGCCGAUGAGCACCGACACGUUUUAUCUAUAAUUUCUCUUCAUUAUUUUUCUUCAUAUGACAAGUAGAUUGUCGACUUGAUUCAUGAUGAUGACUGCUAGCUAAGAUUUUGAAAGUAUGAGUCCAAUCAAAGCUACUGUAGAUAUAACGUGAUUUGAUGUCAUUUUAUCUGUGGCCAAUGACCUUGAGCCUUCUUGGAUGGGCACUUCUAAUGUAACUCUAUGGCAGCACCCAAGGGGCUUGAAUUUUCAAGCUCUACCCUUAGAUUUGGCGGUGAUGUAGUGUCCCCAUGAGUGACAGAACACUGAGCCAAUCACAGCACAAUUAGAGGACAUUACCAACCCGUACGUUCCGUAUUUUCCGCUGGCUGCCCCACUACCACAGAAAGCACUGAGCUAGGCUGAAACAUCUGCAUUUGGAGCUGCCUUAAGAAAGCAAAAAAGGCUUUAUUUGCAAACUGAUAUAUGACACGUAUUAAUGCCAAAUAACAAGCAAAACAGGCAACCCCAUCCCCCAAAAAAGACUGACGGGUUGCCACUGAGAAUAACCAUGAAAAUAUUGUCAUAUUGCUGUGCUUCUCCGAGAGCAGGGCUUUGGUGUACUGAAGACAAGCACUUGUAUUUUGUUUGACCUGACUAAAAUCAUCUGGAUUGAAACAUUGUCAUCUUAGGUGGUAAUGUGGAGUACACAGUAUGCCGACAUCUCUUUUCUUUUCAUGUUCUGACAACCUGGCCAUAUUCAAGGUUCUGUUACAUUUGUAUUUUAGCUGUUACGUAGAACAAAAGAUGGCCACGGAUACAACAGGACUGUAUGUGAAGUGCAAGACUGGGAGGUGUGUGAUUAAAGGCAGGGAAAGGAACAUGGUAUUGCUUGUAGAGAAGGGGUGUGUUGUCUGUCUGUCAGGUCUGGGUGUAGGGUGAUUCAUCGGAGUGGAGAAAGUGCUUUGUGUGUCAUUAGCCCCUUGUCUGGGUCCUGCACAUCAGAAGAGUGAUGGGCCCCAGGGCUUUACAGUCACAGAAAGGACUGCUGUUUUCUUCCACCACUCUCAAAUUGAUUGUAUGUGUUAAUUGCCGCCAUUGAUUAGCAGCAGAGCAGAUGUGAGGCUGCUUCAAUGGGCCUGGAUGUCCAGGAGUGAGUAGAGGGAGAUGUUGCCGUCUUUAAAGGGGCAAUCCGCAAUUGCUACAUUCAUUUUUGGACUUAGUGAUAUAUGCCCAUUGACUCUUGAAGAAAAUUAUUAAUUAUGCCUUGUGAGCUAAGUUCAACUGUCGUACUACUACAGAAGCCAAAAUAUAAGCUUGUUUUACUCCAAUGUUUGUAAACAACAUACAUGUAAACAAACACUGUAUAGCCUCAAAACAUGGUUACAAAUAUUAUUUUGAUAACAGUGGUGGGAUGCCCACUUUGUUAUUGUUUCAGCUGUGGAUUGGUCCUUUAAGAAACAGUACUAAAGUCCCUCUGUAAAUCACAUUCCAGCCAACGUAAACACCAAGGUGCACUUUAACUGUCGUCCAUUUUAGCCCAGGAAGGGGAAAUCUGAUUUAUCACAUAACUCCAUCCUCUCAGAAUAUUACAAAUAAGCUUUUCUACCAAUCACUGAUCAUGGUAAUAGACAGCCAGGUUAAGCUUAUUCUUUUCACCUAUUCAGCAGAGCAAACCUAAGUUAAGGUCAAACAACAGAAUUGCUUCCCCUCCCUGCAGGUGGUGAUGUGGCCUUGGGCUAGCUAUGUCCUAGCGUUUUAGUAUGCCGCCUGGUUAGCAUUGAGAGAGCUGGUGGAGGUACACCACAGUUCUUAAGGGAUUCUCAGGCUAAAUAAAUCAAAUAAAAGGGCUGAGGAAAGAAAGGGGCUUAUGCAGAAAUAGGUGAUAUUAGCUUUGUGAUUGAUUGGGGAGACAGGGACUCUGAGACAGAGGGAGAGAGGUAGGGAGCUAGAGCUAGAGCUAGAGCUAGCAGGUAGUUUGGUUUGUGUAAUGUUUCUUCUGUUAAUUAUCAUGUCCCCCUGUGAUAAUCUUCCCCCCUCGGCUCCCUCUCUUUCUCACUCUCUUUAUGCAUUUUAUAAAUGCCUGCUUUUAAUUAAACCCACACAACGGUGACAGAGUCAAUUAAACGCUAUGCAACAGACACAGAUCGUCAUCAUACACUAUAAUAAUAAUAUCUAUUUGUUGCAUUCCACUUAUUUUAUCGUAUGUAGGGCUGCAAAGCUUCCGAUAAGAAGACAGUGAAUGUUCCUGAGUGGCCGAGUUACAGUUUUGACUUAAAUCUACUUGAAAAUCUAUAGCAAGAAAUUGGUUGUCUAGCAAUGAUCAACCAAUUUGACAGAGCUUGAAGAAUUCUGAAAAGAUAAUGGGCAAAUAUUGUUCAAUCGAGGUGUGCAAAGCUCUUAGAGAUUUACCCAGA
rnacentral:lncRNA from 1 species